GACUACCGGGGUAUCUAAUCCCGUUUGCUCCCCUGGCUUUCGCACCUCAGCGUCAGGACAGGCCCAGCGCAGCGCCUUCGCCUCCGGCAUUCCUCUUGAUAUCUACGCAUUCCACCGCUCCACCAAGAGUUCUCCGCGCCCCUACCUGCCUCAAGACCGCCCGUUCGCCCCGCAAUUCCUCGGUUAAGCCGAGGGAUUUCACGAAGCGCAAAGCAGCCCGCCUACGUGCUCUUUAAGCCCAGUGAUUCCGAACAACGCUUGCCACCUUCGUCUUACCGCGGCUGCUGGCACGAAGUUAGCCGUGGCUUCCUCUGGGACUCCUCAACGUGUGGGCGUAUUAGGCCCACUUGCUUGGUAAUCCCUGACGGCGGUUUACAUCCCGAAGGACUUCAUCCCGCACGCGGCGUCGCUGGGUCAGGCUUUCGCCCAUUGCCCAAUAUUCCUUACUGCAGCCGCCCGUAGG
rnacentral:rRNA from 1 species